rnacentral:rRNA from 1 species
UAUUGUGGCCAUACAUGCUUGUCAAUGCCCAAUCUUGUCAGAUCUCAGAAGCAAAGCAAGCCCAGUCCUGGUUAGCACCUGGAUGGGAGACUACUGGAAAUACCGGGUGCCACAGUGG